GGCCACGUGGCGCAACUGAAUAGCGCAUCAGAUUUCGGCUCUGACGGUUGGGGGUUUGAGUCCCUUCGUGGUCACGA
rnacentral:tRNA from 1 species